rnacentral:rRNA from 1 species
UGGCGGCACUAGCGCGGUGGUCCCACCUGACCCAUGCCGAACUCAGAAGUGAAACGCCGUAGCGCCGAUGGUAGUGUGGGGUCUCCCCAUGCGAGAGUAGGAACUGCCAGGCA